rnacentral:rRNA from 1 species
UACGAAGGGGGGCUAGCGUUGCUCGGAAUUACUGGGCGUAAAGCGCACGUAGGCGGUCUUUUAAGUCGGGGGUGAAAUCCUGGAGCUCAACUCCAGAACUGCCUUCGAUACUGGAAGACUUGAGUCCGGGAGAGGUCGAGUGGAACUGGCGAGUGUAGAGGUGAAAUUCGUAAGAUAUUCGCAAGAACACCAGUGGCUGUAAGGCGG